UGUCUUUUCUACCUCCAACCUCGUCCGCGAGACACAUAUCAAACGGCUCGAGCUCUCGUUACCCUUUUUCUUUUAGUUUGCCGAAUCGUCACCUCUCCCACUCCGUUGAUUCAUAGCCUUUGUUGUCCCAUUCUCCGGGCUUCGUGUUUGCCACGAGCUUGGCACACAAUCACCAUACGCAUAUGGGUUCAGAGAGGCGGCAACGAGUUAACAGAGGAACCAAAAAAAGGGGGGCGAAUAUGUGCGUGCAACUCACUCGGUGUAGGAUCUGUGUUGCGGCCGUGGCAAAAAGAAAAAUAUGCGAGCGAGUGAGUGUGUCGGUGUUUAGUGUUAGGUAUGCAACGCCCACUGCAUUUUUGCCUCUCACUAUGCGCCUUCCCUCAUUGUACUGUGCGACGGUGGCGUCUCGUCACGGUGUUGUCCUCACUUUUCAAACAACAUCAAACAUGUUUUCUGCUCGCUCGCAUCCGACGCUGCCGCAUGCCCUGCGAUUGCUGUGUCUCACUCUCUUUCCGCCUCUUUCUGGGCAACGCAAUGAAACCCGCACAUCGUCGGCCACUCUGCCACCACAACGUUACCUGCUGCAAUAUGCGUGUAACAUGACGGUCCUUGACAAGCAAG
rnacentral:misc_RNA from 1 species